rnacentral:rRNA from 1 species
CCCUUAGAUGUUCUGGGCUGCACGCGUGCUACAAUGGCGUUUCCAGCAAGUCUGCGAACCCGAGAGGGCCAGCGGAUCUUCGAAUUGGCGUCGUGAUCGGGACAGUCGAUUGCAAUUAUUUGACUCAAACGAGGAAUUCCUUGUAAUCGCGAUUCAUCAUAUCGCGCUGAAUACGUCCCCGCCCUUUGUACACACCGCCCGUCGCUCCUACCGAUUGAGCGAUCCGGUAAAUGUUUUGGAUUGGUGCCGGGGCGGCUAGCUGCCGGUCGCUACGAAAUUUUGUGAACCUUAUCGCUUAGAGGAAGGAAAAGUCGUAACA